UAGUCCACGCCCUAAACUAUGCUCACUCGAUAUUAGCGAUAUACAGUUAGUGUCCAAGAGAAAUCGUUAAGUGAGCCACCUGGGAAGUACGUUCGCAAGAAUGAAACUCAAAGGAAUUGACGGGGGUCCGCACAAGCGGAGGAGCAUGUGGUUUAAUUCGAUGAUACGCGAGGAACCUUACCUGGGCUAGAAUGCAUUACGAUCACCUUUGAAAGAAGGUUUUCUCUUCGGAGACGUUUUGCAAGGUGCUGCAUGGUUGUCGUCAGCUCGUGCCGUGAGGUGUUGGGUUAAGUCCCGCAACGAGCGCAACCCCUGUUCUUAGUUGCUAACAGAUAAUGCUGUAGGACUCUAAGAAAACUGCCUGUGUAAGCAGAGAGGAAGGAGGGGAUGACGUCAAAUCAUCAUGGCCUUUAUGCCCAGGGCUACACACGUGCUACAAUGGUGAAGACAAAGAGCUGCGAUCUGGUGACAGUUAGCUAAUCUCAUAAACUU
rnacentral:rRNA from 1 species